CCCGGAAAGUGUAACUUCUUAAAACAUGAAGUCACAUAUUUAGGUCAUCUAAUCACUGAGAAAGGCGUUUGUUGUGGGCACACAUACAAUAGGGUGUGUGUUAAACGGUUUGACCGUUAUUAAAUAAAUAUGCAAGAAUAGCCUUCGCACUAAGUCUCAUGUUACGAUGCGGUAGCAUAAGACUAUGCAGAUGGCAAUGAUCCCACAACGCGAGCGUGGAAUAUGCUGACACUACAAAACGUGACCAGCAAACACGCUACUUUCGAAGCUAACGCAAAAGUACAGAAACUUUUGUCGAACAGUUGCUGCUUUACCACCAAACUAAGAACUGGUUCAUAGAUCUCCGGAAGAGAGUUAAAAGUUGUGCCGGCAAGAUUGGUAAAAAUCAUUUGCAGUUUUUUAAUUUUGACUUCAAAUCGAAAAGACGGAAGCAAGUUUUCAUUCAAGAAACCAUAAUAAAUUACUAAUAUUGUUAAUGAAAUAAAUGCUAAACUAAAUUGAAUUAGUUAAAUUAAAUUAAAUUAAUUUGAAUUAAAUUGAGUUGAGUUGAGUUGUGAACGGAACUAAGUUUGAGUGAGCGAACAGAGAAUUCGAGACCGUUUCGUUUUCGUUGCGAUUUUGAUUUAUUCAAACACUUGUGGCAAUAAAACCAAAAAUAAAUAUAUAAUUAACAUUAAUUAAAAGAACAAUUUUAAUGGAACCGGGCAACAAAUCCACAACAAGCAAUUAACCAACAUAACGAAGGAAUUUAGUAGAAGAGCAGCAGAACCAAGACAGACGUAACAUAGCGACUGAGUACAACGGAAAUAGCAAAGCAGCGACAGUGUCUAGGAGUAAGAACUAGACAGGAUUUUUUUAUCAAUAAAAAAGAAACUGAACCUUAUCCCGUGUGUUUUACUGUCAAAGAUAGAGGCACAACAAAUUGGCGCAGCCGGUAGGAUGCAGUCAUCAUGGGUUGAUUGGAAAAUACAAUAAAAGACAUGCCGAUAAAGAAGAGAAAACCAUUGAACAACCAUUCUAUUCUGAGUGUGGUCUAUUCAACGGCUGAUUUAAGUAGAUAAUCAAGAUCGAGAAGAAAAUUUUGACAAAAUUUCAAAAUGCUAAUUCACAAUUAAUUUAUAAUCAGUAGCCUGAAGAAGACUGUAGACUGUAGUCGAUAUAUCAGUAACCAUUAAUAUUAUUAUAUCUAUAAUUACUUUAAAAAUUUUGAAACAAGGAAGCCUGAUUCGAAAUCAAAAUGCUAAUUGAAACAACAUUUGAUGAAAAUGUCAAAAACUGUUCCCAAAUCUAUCAACACAUCAGCUGCCUAACAGUCUACAGUAAAUGAAGUACAGAAUAGCUUUAAUAAAGUGCUUAGUCUCUUAGUUGAUGAUGAACUUCUUGGCAGCUUGAAGCAUAACAUCACCAACCAAGCUUCACUUCAUCAGUAGCAAAACAUUAAUAGUAGUUGAAAGCUUACAAUUAUCUCCAGAAAGCUCAAAAAUAUUGGAUAUAUGCUGAUAUCAGAAACAUUUGACAUUACUUAUGACGAGACGAAAUCGUUUUUCGUAGUAGAGUACACUUUUUGCGUAAUAAAUUCAUUUUCAAAAUUAA